rnacentral:rRNA from 1 species
UACGAAGGGGGCUAGCGUUGUUCGGAAUUACUGGGCGUAAAGCGCACGUAGGCGGGUUUGUAAGUAGGGGGUGAAAUCCCCGGGCUCAACCCGGGAACUGCCUUCUAGACUGCAAGCCUGGAGGUCAGGAGAGGCGAGUGGAAUUCCGAGUGUAGAGGUGAAAUUCGUAGAUAUUCGGAGGAACACCAGUGGCGAAGGUGACUCGCUGGACUGAUACUGACUAUGAGGUGCGAAAGCGUGGGGAGCAAACAGG